GAUGAACGCUAGCGGCAGGCCUAACACAUGCAAGUCGAGGGAGAAGCCCUUCGGGGCAGAAACCGGCGCACGGGUGCGUAACGCGUAUGCAACCUACCUUUCACAGGGGGAUAGCCCGAAGAAAUUUGGAUUAAUACCCCAUAAUAUUAUUGGAUGGCAUCAUUUGAUAAUUAAAAUUACGAUGGUGAAAGAUGGGCAUGCGUCCUAUUAGCUAGUUGGAGUGGUAACGGCACCCCAAGGCUACGAUAGGUAGGGGUCCUGAGAGGGAGAUCCCCCACACUGGUACUGAGACAGGGACCAGACUCCUACGGGAGGCAGCAGUGAGGAAUAUUGGUCAAUGGUCGGAAGACUGAACCAGCCAUGCCGCGUGCAGGAAGAAUGCCUUAUGGGUUGUAAACUGCUUUUAUAUGGGAAGAAUAAGGAGUACGUGUACUUUGAUGACGUACCAUAUGAUAAGCUCGCA
rnacentral:rRNA from 1 species